rnacentral:lncRNA from 1 species
GGAAAUGUCAGUUGCAUGAGUCUGUACCAAACAUUGUCAGUGUUCCAGCCAUGCUGGUAAAUGUUUAACAAUGAGCUCUCAAAAAGAAAACCCCGAAUUAUGGCACUUGCCAAUUUCCAUGGUGUAAAUACUCCCACAUGGCUGACAUCAAACUAAAUUAAUGGUUGUCUCCACACAUGUAGCUGGGAAGCAAUGCUCACACCCCAGAGGGAGCUGGCCCCGAACACCCCCCUGUGCCCUCUUGCCUGACCCGGUUUGGACACCAGCUGCCUGGCGGCCAGUGCUGGGGCGUUUUGUCCGGUGCUGCCCUCAGAAGGCACUCUGCCUGAGAGUACGCAAAGCCAGCAGUGCCUGGGAGUUUACAGCCCCCAGGGGGAUCUUGUGGGUACAAAUACUGCAACUGUUGGCUCUGAUUGGCUGGCUCUGGGAUGUGACUUCCUCCCUAGAGGCUGAGCCAAAGGCAUCUUCAGCUGACUUUGCUUGAAGCCUCACCUUGGCUUGGCUUCCUGCCUUUUUUCCUCUCAGUUCCUCUUCCACCUGUCUUUGCAGAUAACUUUCCUGGUAACUUCCUUUCACACGCAACCUUGUCUCAGGGUCUACUUCUAGGGAACCCACGUAAGGCUGCAUCUCUAGAUAUCUUUUUCCCUUAAAUGCCCUGGGGUUUGGGAGAGUUUCCCACUCAAUAAUACUCAGUAAGCUUUCCCAUUAACCCCGCUAUAAGCUUUUCUUGGUUUCCUCUGUGUCUGUGCCCCAAGGUGUGUCUGUCGUGGGGGGAUGAGUCAUGGAGCAAAGUCCUCCCCACUGACUCAGCAAUGCCAUUUCCUGCCCACAACCUUCUAGAACUCUUGCACUUUGACACAAUGGGGACCAGCCCACCCCUGAUUCACCAGCUCAGUUUUCUGUCACAUCCUGUACUUUCCCUGAGGAUUUUUCUGUUCUCCUUCUGACCAGAGUCAACGCCAACCAACCCACAAGCAGCAGAGAACAGAAACGUGGCCAGAUGGUCUCCAAUACGGAUCAAAAACAUAAAGAGGCAAACGUGGAGGGGCGGAAGGUCCUUGGCCCUUUUCUCUUGAAAUUGAGUUCGCUGUGUUGAAAUGUCCAUCGUGUCUGCAUCCCCUUCCUGGUUUUCCCCAAAGAGGCCGUGGCGGGGGAACAGGUGGCGUUCCAUGUGGUGGCAACAUGAAGGGAUCACUCGCCAGCGAGCAUAAUCGCUCUGGAAACAUUCGGAAUACUCAUAUGUUCUGUACUUUUCCCCUGAGUCAAUAAGGUAGAAAUGCAUCAGGAGAAAGUCAAAGGUUUCUGUCAAAAUCCAGACCACAGGGAGAAAAUGACGAGUUGAUGGGGCUCACCCUGUGAUCAAUUUCUCCGUGAACCUGACAGGGAAGUCUUCUUAGAGGGCACCUCAGCGUCUGAAGUUGGCUUUCACAAUGAGCAGAAGGUGAAAAGCUGCCAAACAACAGCCACUUUCAAAAUCCAGUGAAAACAGAACUAAGCCAACAAAGGAAUAACAAGGUCCCAGGUUGCAAAACAAAACAAGUUGGGAAAACUUGUCCAAGAGCUGUACUGAACUCUUGCAUGGGCGCUGACGUACACAAAUCAUCCUCAUCACCUCUGAAACGAGGCAGCUCUAAAUUACUUCUUGAAUUCCAUAUGGUUAAUCUGCAGGCACAGGAACAUGCUUUAGGGUGAAAUUUAGUUGUUGUUGUUUUCACUGGGCUUGCAAUAACAUAUUGUAAAUGACUAAGGCUAGAUGACACUUUCACACCAGUCUUGAAAUCAUCCCAGUGAUCUUGACCCAAUGCCAGAUGAGGAUCUUGGUGCAGAUAAAGCGACUGUGCUUCUUCUUCCUGCAGAAUUAACAUUAACAAUCCUGCACAUUAACAAUCUAGAACUAUGUUAGCCAGGGUAUUUGAGGCAGAAUUCUGAACUGAAAUUGGUCGUCUCCUAGCACAAUGAUUUUUAAAUACAAAACAAGCAAACACACAAAAAGAAAAAAAGAAACAACAAGAAAUUUUAAAAUGUCGUAUCUAUCUUAUGAAAGCCAAAAUGAAAGAUUGGCAACCUUUCCUGAAUAUGGGCAUUGUCCACAUCUAAUCUAGAUGAUGUGGGUCCAGUUUUCUCUUUCUUCAAUCAUCUGAUGUUUUUACAUUCAAAUUGGUAGGAAAAGGAUGCUUUCCAGUUUAAUUUUCUUUAAAAUAAUUUCGCAGAUUUCUGAAUCCAUAUGCAAUUUUUAAGAGCACAGACUUUGGACUCAAAAAUGAGUUUAAAUUCUCAGUCUGCCACUUACAAGAUGAGUAAGGUGAAAAACCCCUUCACCUCUGUAAGCCUCAGUGAAGAAACUUUGAUUAAAUAGAUUCACAAUAGAUUCAAGCGUACUCAAGGGCUGGGGUCUUAACAUCUCUGGAGUGGCUCACAGUGCUGAGCACAUGGCAGACGCCCAAUCAAUUCGUGCAAACAAAUGAACAGAAUCAGAUUUCCAAGGAGUUCUUCAGGAAGUCAAGUAAUGCAUUGACCCUUUCCUUCAGCAUUACAUCCACGGAGCCUGCCUGUCUAAAUGAUUCAGAUCCGCUCUGCAACUCUAUGCAGGAGAAACACAUUUUCCUUUUCUGGUGGAUCAGACAACAGCAGGACUUCUGGAUUAUGUCUUCUGCAUAGGUUGCAGCAGGGAAACAUAGCAUUACGCGUGUAGACAGGGCAGGUUUAAUGCUAGGCAACGUUCUUAAGGGAGAUCAGAAAAGCAACUAGCAUGCCAGGUCUACUGUCCCGGCCCCCAAGGCUCAGCACAGAUAUUUGGAAAACCAGGAGUUGAGCAUUUGACUGGAAAAUAAAAACAACAUAGACUCGUGCAUUUGAUCAGUGAACUUGGAGCGCACACCAUGGAUUAGGCACAGCUGGGCACCGAGGAGACAUCACCUGGCUUAUAAGUCAUCUGUGCCCUCUGGGGACUGACAGUCCAGCUGGGAAUGAGGAUCAGGAGGUCAGAAAUUAAGUAAAGAGCAAAGAAGAAUGCAACAUGAGUAAACGCAAAAAUAAAAAAUAAAAACAAACAAAACAAGUUGGCCCUGACCAUCAGGCAGUAUGGUAUGGAGAAGACCACGGGCUUGUGUCUAUCAGUCAGACCUGCUUUGAGUCUUGGCUCCACCAUAAACCAGAUGAGUUAAGUUUCAUACCCUCUCUAAACGGUCGCCUCAGCUAUACAACAGGCUCAAUGAUAUUCACCCCACAAGAUUGCUAUAAGAAGGAAAUGGUAUGACCUUGGGGCAAGAAGAGGUACCAUUGUCCCCACUGUCCACAGAUGGUGACAUUUGUUCAGGACAACCUGGCCAUUAAGGAGGAGAACUCUAUGAGAACAAGGUCUGCGUCCCUAGAUGGCAUUCAUACAGGUACUCACGAUGCUAAGAGGUAU